rnacentral:rRNA from 1 species
AUAACAAUGAUUCCCUUAGUAACGGCGAGUGAAGAGGGAAAAGCUCAAAUUUUAAAUCUGCUGGGUCUUACCUUUCAGAAUUGUAAUUUGAAGAAGCGUUUUCCGCGUCUUGGUUGACCCAAAUCCUUUGGGAUAAGGUAUCAUGGAGGGUGAGAAUCCCGUUCGGUUGACCUUAUGACGCUUUACGAUACGCUCUCUAAGAGUCGAGUUGUUUGGGAUUGCAGCUCAAAAUGGGAGGUAAAUUUCUCCUAAGGCUAAAUAUCGGCGAGAGACCGAUAGCGAACAAGUACCGUGAGGGAAAGAUGAAAAGAACUUUGAAAAGAGAGUAAAAUAGUACGUGAAAUUGUUGAAAGGGAAACGAUUGAAGUCAGUCGUACCGACGAGAAAUCAACUUAUCGUGUGCGAACUUGUGGGCGUGCGUGAGUUUCGGCCUCGCUGUUUGCAUGUUUGUGCAUUUUGGGUGUACUUUUUCGUAUGGUAGGCCAACGUCAGUUUCGAUCAUCAUAAAAUGACUGGCGGAAUGUAGCUUCGAUUUCGGUUGAAGUGUUAUAGCCUCUGGUAGAUGUGGUAAUUGGGACUGAGGAUUGCAACGAAUAUCCUUUGGGCUAUCCGUCUGAUCUCUGAAAGUUACUUAGGUGCCGAAAGCGUGCUUACGGUCAUUUAAGUUGACGGUCAACAGGUUAGAACGUGAUU